rnacentral:lncRNA from 1 species
GCUGUCCCCGCGUCCCGCUGACCUUGAGCCCCCCCGGACCCCCCCCCAAAGGGCCUCAUUAAUCUCCCCCACCCCCCCGGGGGUCGCGGGGGUCACGGGUGGCCCCUCGGGGGGGGGCUCGGAGCCAAUUAACCCUCGCGGCUCCGGGCGGGGCCGGGGGAACCCGAGAGCUUUAUGGGCCAUAAAGCGCCUUCCCCUCCUUCUGUUCAGGAACCAUAAAAACCCCGAAUUGCCCGGGGGGGCGAGCCCAGAGGGGGGAAAAAAGGAAAAAAAAAUCAAAAUAAUAACGGAGAGAAGCCCCCUCCCCUUUCUCCUCCCCUCCUCGGGUGCAUCCGGACCCGCGGGACCCCCGGGAGGAGGGGAGGGGGCUCUGCCCUUUAUUUUGGGGGGCCCCGAGCUGCCAAGGGGGCGGGGAGGGGGGGCCCGAGGCCCGGGGAGGAAAACCCCAGCGUGUCGUCAAUUUUAUGGGUAAUAAAAUUUCAAAGCCGCCCGAGCGCAUUUAAUGCCUGGGAAGGAAAUUCGGGGAGGGGGCGGCAGCGCCUCGCCCCUCCCUCCCUUCCGCUCCCCCCCCGCGCCGGGGGUCCCGCCCGGGAGCAGGUGGAGAAACCCCGGGGGAAACUGAGGCACGGGGGGGCGGGGCCGGGCAGGGCUGUGUCCCCGUGGGGACCCCCUGGGACCCCCUGGCUGGGCCGGGCUGGCCCCGGCACUGCUGUCACCGUCACCCCCUUUGUCACCCCCAUGUCACCCCCAUGUCACCCUGCUGUCAUCACAACCCUGUUUGUCACCCCGAUGUCACCCUGGUACCCUGUUUGUCACCCCAAUGUCACCCUGGUGUGACCCUGUUUGUCACCCUGUUUGUCACUUUGCUGUCACCCUGCUGUCACCCCGGUCACCGUGCCACCUGCCCCGUGUCCCCAGUUUGCUCCCAGCGCCCAGUGCCAGCUCCCAGUGGCGCUGCUGAGCGGUGACAGU